rnacentral:rRNA from 1 species
CCUACGGGAGGCAGCAGUGGGGGAUAUUGCACAAUGGGGGGAACCCUGAUGCAGCGACGCCGCGUGGGUGAAGAAGCGCCUCGGCGCGUAAAGCCCUGUCAGCAGGGAAGAAAAUGACGGUACCUGAAGAAGAAGCCCCGGCUAACUACGUGCCAGCAGCCGCGGUAAUACGUAGGGGGCAAGAGUUCUCCGGAUUUACUGGGUGUAACGGGGGCGCAGACGGCGAUGCAAGCCAGGAGUGAAAGCCCGGGGCCCAACCCCGGGACUGCUCUUGGAACUGCGUGGCUGGAGUGCAGGAGGGGCAGGCGGAAUUCCUGGUGUAGCGGGGAAAUGCGUAGAUAUCAGGAGGAACACCGGUGGCGAAGGCGGCCUGCUGGACUGAAACUGACGUUGAGGCCCGAAAGCGUGGGGAGCAAACAGGAUUAGAUACCCGAGUAGUC